rnacentral:rRNA from 1 species
UACGUAGGGGGCAAGCGUUAUCCGGAAUUACUGGGUGUAAAGGGUGAGUAGGCGGCAUGGUAAGCCAGAUGUGAAAGCCUUGGGCUUAACCCGAGGAUUGCAUUUGGAACUAUCAAGCUAGAGUACAGGAGAGGAAAGCGGAAUUCCUAGUGUAGCGGUGAAAUGCGUAGAUAUUAGGAAGAACACCAGUGGCGAAGGCGGCUUUCUGGACUGAAACUGACGCUGAGGCACGAAAGCGUGGG